rnacentral:rRNA from 1 species
AGAACGAACGCUGGCGGCAGGCCUAACACAUGCAAGUCGAACGCUCUCGCAAGAGAGAGUGGCGCACGGGUGCGUAACGCGUGGGAAUCUACCCUUGACUACGGAACAACGUCGGGAAACUGACGCUAAUACCGUAUAAUGACUCCGGUCCAAAGAUUUAUCGGUCAGGGAUGAGCCCGCGUUAGAUUAGCUAGUUGGUGAGGUAAUGGCUCACCAAGGCUACGAUCUAUAGCUGGUCUGAGAGGAUGAUCAGCCACACUGGGACUGAGACACGGCCCAGACUCCUACGGGAGGCAGCAGUGAGGAAUAUUGGACAAUGGGGGCAACCCUGAUCCAGCCAUGCCGCGUGAGUGAUGAAGGCCUUGGUUGUAAACUCUUUAGUAUGUGAAGAUGAUAGACGGUAACAUACAAGAAAAGCUACCGGCUAACUCGCGCCAGCAGCCGC